UUGUCUUCCAUAUUUGCAGCAGCAAGGAAGGGAAGCCUGGUCCUUCUCUGGUCUUCCCGGAUGUGAGAUUUGACUCACCUGGGAAGCAAAUGUCUAAAUAUUUGGUUGGUCCGUUUACAGUGAGCAAACCUACCAGUCCAGAGGACUUAAAGUUAAUCCAAUAUGUCUUUGAUUCUUCACUGAGUGAGAGGUCAGAUUCUUUUCCCCCAAGUUAUUGUUUGCUUAGCUGAAUGCAUUUAAGUUCACCAGUUGACCUAUUCUGUACCUGUUUCUGCUAGUGAGAUUAUUGUUCAAUGCAAGAAUUAUCAUUUAUCUCGGAGGGAACUAUACUCUCUGAGACCGAAGGCCUGGCUUGAUGAUAACGUCCUUUCUACGAUAUCUGAUGCCAUGACUUUAGUUAAGAGGAAGAUGGAAGAUUCUGUAAAUUGGUAUCUGCCAAUUGUUUUUGCGGAGAAUGCAGAUGAUCCAUCUAAGUGUAUUUCUUUCGCGAAAAAGCACAGGAUCAAGGAAAACUACAUGUCAGAUCUUUUGUGCUGUGAAGAGGUGAAGUUUGGUUUUCUUUAGUCCAAUUAAUGCAUCCCAUGCUUAGUUAUGCUGUGAAAACUAUAUUUGCAGGCGUUUGUUCCUGUGUUUGACAACAAAAGAAGGCAUUUCUUUCUAUUUGUACUACAAUUGAAAAAGCAAGUUGUUGAGAUAUGGGAUUCAUUAGCUGCAUCAAGUCAGAGUGAUUGGGUUGACAGGCGACUGCAUAACUUGUUGGUUAGCCUGGACGCCCUUUUCAAAGAUGAUAUAGAUCAGAACUACCAAAAAGUUUGGUGCUUCACAGAUUUCAGAGUGGAAAGACCAUCGAAUGUCCCACAGCAACAAAAUGGACAUGACUGUGGUGUGUAUGUUAUCAAGUUUAUGCUAGCACCAGAAGAAGUGACAAAUCCUGAUUUUGUGUUCGACAGUGAAAACGAGAGGUUGGAAGUGGUACUAAGAUUGCUAGCGAGUGAUGUCAACUCAUACAGGAAUAAUUUGGCUUCUAAGGCUGAGGCAUACUAGGAGCAGAGGUUUGGCAAUCAUUGAGAAUUUUUGGCAAGAAAUGAGAAUAUGAAAGACAUAAAUCAUCGAUAGGAAAGAAAGUAUUCAGACAACAUAUAGGAAUUCAACUUCAGGGAAGCUUACCAGAGAAUGUGGGCUGCAUGAGAAAGGAACUCAACGCUCAUCAAAUCAGAUGUGAAUGGCCAUUAUUGUAAACAAUAUAGUAUAAUUGGCAGAGACAU